rnacentral:rRNA from 1 species
AGAAAAGGAAAAAAGACCACCCACACCCAAGUACUCCAAGAACCGGACGACGGCGGCGGCGGCGGCCUCCCCCUUCACGGCGGCGGAGACCUUCAGAUGGAUGCCACAGCCCUUAAUUAUGAAAACCAGAAGUUGGUGCAGCAAUUGGAAGCACAGAAGUCUGAAAUGCAUUUGUUGGAAGCUAAGUUCAAGGAGUUGAGGAAUGAACAAUCUUCUUAUGACAAUACUCUGAUUUCCCUGGAUAAGAUGUGGAAUCAGCUUGUUGAUGAUUUAAUCCUGCUUGGAGUUCGAUUUGGUGGUGGUUUGAACAAUUUGCCUGCACUUGACCAUGAAGAGUUGUCAGAAGAAUCCAUCGAGUUGUGUCCUUCUGAUGAAAUUUUUCUCUUCAUGCUCUUGAAGUCCAACAAUUAUGGAAAAAAGGGUGACAAUAGCUUGUUGGAAUUUGCUGAAGAAGCUCUUGCUUUGCGCCGUUCGGCAACUCUUGCUCUGAUGAGGUCCCUUCAAGAGGCUAUUGCUGCACAACAGGCUAGAAGUGAAUAUUUGUCAUUAGCUUUAAAUGGAGAGAAGUCAAAUGAAGAUGUUGUUGUUGCCCUUCAAAACCAUAAUGAUCACUUGAAAGAGGUGGUUGGCAAUGUCCUUGAAGCUAUUUCUAUCGUCGAUGAGAAGCAUAAAAGGUAUCUGGAUGAGAUUGAGGCUUUCAAAAGCAGCUACUCAAAAGAAUUGCAGGAAAUCAAGCAUCUUUCAGGAGAGCUAGAGGAAACCAUGGCGGAGCUUGAGGAAAGCCGACGGAAGUUGGUUAUUCUCCAGUUGCAAAGGCAUGGAAGUUCGCUAAUGAACAUGUCUGGUCCAAACGCCGUGAAUGGUGCUGUUUCGGCUGAUAAAUCUUCAGAUGAAAACAUGGGCUGGGGAGAUCUUAAAGAUGCUGUUGACGAAGCUAAGACCCUUGCAGGAAACCGCCUGCUUGAACUCCAUGAGACUCAAGAGGAUAAUCUAAUACUGUCUAACCAGUUAGAAAAUCUGCAGGCUCAAUUAAAAGAUGAUAACUAUAUUUUCACAUCAAAACCAUAUACGAUUCUUAGCGAUCAGUUACAUCAUCUGAAUGCUGAGAUAGAACGAUACAAGGGUUUGGUUGAAGUAUUACAGAAUGAUAAGAACCAGUUCUUGCAAAGGGAGAAAGAAAUGUAUGCAAAAGGAGAAUCCGUCGACAAUAUUAAACAAUCCAUUACCGCUUAUGAGGCCAAAAUCGAAGAACUGGAACAUCAGAUUCUGAAAUCCAUGGCUGAGAAGAAUGAUCUUGAGAUCAAAGUUGAGGAAUCAUUGCAAGAUUCAGGUAAAAAAGACUUCAAGGAUGAGAUUCAUGUCAUGGCUGCAGCACUCUCUAAAGAGAUGGAAAUGAUGGAGAAUCAAUUGAAUAGAUCAAAGGAUGCGGCUUCUGAAGCACUUGCAUUACGUGAAGAAGCUGAAUAGUUUAGAACCUUGUUAGCUAAGAAGAUCAGUGAACAGAAGGAAAUAUCUGAUAGAUACAACACACAAGUCUCCGAGAUCAAGUCCCUCAAAGAAUUGAAAAACAAGGAAGUAUUGCCCUUCGAUGGUCCGAAGCCAAGCUCUUGCAACUUUGCACCGUGUCAGGAUUGCCAUUCAUGGUUUCUGAAUGAAAUUUCAACAGAUUGGGACGUUGCAAAAGGAAAAUCAGGAGUUAGAAUUUAUUGUGGAUAUGUAUGGGAAAGAAUGUUCUGAGUCGAGAGAUCAAGGAAUCAGAAAAUCGAGCUCGCAAGCAGGCUGAAUAUUUGAGAACUAGUCUAGAGGAGCAUAGUCUUGAGCUUCGUGUAAAAGCAGCAAAUGAAGCCGAAACUGCAUGCCAGCGAAGGCUUUGCAUUGCUGAAGCAGAACUGGAAGAGUUAAGGACCGAUGUAGAUGCAUCUGAAAGAGAUGUACUGGAACUCAAGGAGGCAAUAAGAAUUAAAGAAGCGGAAGGAGAUGCUUAUAUCUCUGAAAUUGAGAUAAUUGGUCAAGCAUAUGAAGACAUGCAGACACAAAACCAGCAUCUUCUUCAAUAGGUUGCCGACAGAGAUGAUUUUAACAUAAAGCUAGUAUCAGAUAGUGUGAAGACAAAGCAAGCCUCUGCUUCCCUUCUCUCUGAAAAGCAUUUGUUACAGAAGCAACUCCAUCAGGUUAACAGCUCACUGGAGUCAUCUAAACAAAAACUCUCCCGUGGUGAAGAGCAGAUGAAAGCCUAUGUCGCACAAGCUAUAAAAACUUCUUCAGAGAACAGGCAUCAUGCAAUUACCAUUGAAAAGACUCUGCUGGAGGUAUCUGACGCAGAGAAGGAGCUCAAGUGGCUUCGGUCCGCCGUUGGAUCCUCUGAGAAAGAAUAUGAGCAAAACCAGAAAAAAAUAGCUGAGCUCAGAACGGAGCUGGAACGUGAGAGAAGCGAGAAGAGAAAGCUUGAGGAAGCAUACGAGGAGGUUAAGAAUGAAGUCAUGGAGCUGACAUCUGAGAACGAAGAAGCUACUAUCCAGAAGCUCCAGGACGAGAUAAAAGACUCCAAGGCUAUUCUCAAGUGUGGCGUGUGCUUUGACCGGCUGAAAGAGGUUGUGAUCACCAAAUGCUUCCACCUGUUCUGCUCGACCUGUAUCCAGAGGAACCUCGAGCUACGCCACCGGAAGUGCCCAGGCUGCGGCACCCCUUUCGGGCAAAACGACGUGCGAGAGGUGAAGAUCUGAAGUCUCAGCGAGGCUGGCUUGGAUGACCUGGUACCCUUGGACAGCAGACAGCACCAACCUGCUCUCCGUGCUUGUCUCUUGUAGAUAUGUAAUAGUUUCCGGUUUUCUCAUGGGGGCGCUUAGAUCCAGCAAAGAAGUAAAAAUAUAACCCUUUAAGAAAGCGCGCGAACGUGCUCCAGCGGAUUGUAUGUGCGCAAUGGCCUCCCAACUGUUGAUCCACCGUGAAAAACCAGCUGUGUGCCAUGCAGAUGUCGGAAAAUACUGAAGUCAAAAAAGUUUGUUGUAACUUCAUUGCCUGUGUGAUUUUUGUUUGUCU